UACGGAGGUCCCAAGCGUUGUUCGGAAUUACUGGGCGUAAAGGGAGCGCAGGCGGACAGGUUAGUCUAAAGUGGAAGCCCGGGGCUCAACCUCGGAAGGUCUUUGGAUACUGCCUGUCUUGAGUUUGUCAGAGGAAAGCGGAAUUCAGGGUGUAGCGGUGAAAUGCUUAGAUAUCCUGAGGAACACCGAUGGCGAAAGCAGCUUUCUGGGACAUGACUGACGCUGAGGCUCGAAAGCGUGGGUAGCAAACGGG
rnacentral:rRNA from 1 species